UACGUAGGGUGCAAGCGUUGUCCGGAAUUAUUGGGCGUAAAGAGCUCGUAGGCGGCUUGUCGCGUCGGCUGUGAAAACCUGGGGCUCAACCCCGGGCCUGCAGCCGAUACGGGCAAGCUAGAAUUCGGUAGGGGAGACUGGAAUUCCUGGUGUAGCGGUGAAAUGCGUAGAUAUCGUAAGGAACACCGGUGGCGAAGGCGGGUCUCUGGGCCGAUAUUGACGCUGAGGAGCGAAAGCGUGGGGAGCGAACAGG
rnacentral:rRNA from 1 species